CUGAGCAUACCACUUUCUUUCAGGCGAAGUUAUAGGACUGUUAGGACACAAUGGAGCUGGUAAAAGUACAACUAUUAAGAUGAUAACUGGAGACACAAAGCCAACUGCAGGACAGGAGGAGGAUUCCCCUGGCUGAGAACCACUGCCUUACUGCAAGAUAAAUCCUAUAAUUAUAACUAUCACUGGCGAAACAGAAUUCUCAACAAGUAUCUAUUCCUUUGAAUGUUUGGAUCAA
rnacentral:sRNA from 1 species